CACGUAGGGCGCAAGCGUUGUCCGGAAUUAUUGGGCGUAAAGAGCUCGUAGGCGGUCUGUUGCGUCCGCUGUGAAAACCCGGGGCUUAACCCUGGGCUGGCAGUGGAUACGGACAGACUAGAGGUAGGUAGGGGAGAAAUGGAAUUCCCGGUGUAGCGGUGAAAAUGCGCAGAUAGUCGGGAGGAACACCGGUGGCGAAGGCGGUUCUCUGGGCCUUACCUGACGCUGAGGAGCGAAAGCGUGGGGAGCGAACAGG
rnacentral:rRNA from 1 species